rnacentral:lncRNA from 1 species
AUUUAAUAGUCUCUAAAUGUAGUAAUGAUGAUGAAUUAACUUCUUAAAUUUUUGAAAUUAAAAUAAAUAAAUAAAUUCUAGGUUGAAGAAUUCUGUAUUCCAAUGGCAUGGAGAUCUAAUGAAGUAUUUGGUAUAUUAGUAAAAUCCUCAGUUGAAGAUCUUAAUCUCCUUGGUGCUGCAUUUUUAAAUGAUCAGCUGUGUAUGAAUGAAGGAAAGGAAAUACAUAAAAUGAUGAGUAUGCAGUUUAUGAAUGGAUCUACAGGUUCCCUCAUUUUUAAACAUUAUGUUUUACAAAUUCUUGCUUUAAUAAAUUGUGUUGCUAU